rnacentral:lncRNA from 1 species
GUGGACAAGCAAGGAAAUCCUCCCUCUUUCUUUUCUUGCUUUUCCACCAGUGCCUUCCUGGGUAGGAAAGCAGGGUAGAAAAUGUCACACUGAGGGCCAAUCAGUUUAGUUCUAAGGUUAAGUAAUAGGAAUCCCAAUUUUGGCCUCCCACUUGAAGUAUGUCCCCAAACCAGUCUUCCAGGAAGAUUUAUCAUCUGAAUAACAAAGCUGGUGUUUUGAUUCCAUUUGACUCAAGUAUUUGUGUUUAUAUUUGAUUGGCAGAAGCCCUGGAGGGAAAGAAGAUGACUUCAGCCUGAGCUUUACCCAUGACAUUAGUAACAUCACUCUGACUUCAUACCUGCCGUGGAUGCUGGACUGCAGCCUCUUCUCUGAGCAUCCCCGAGUAGCAUUCUGUGAGACUUCUGCUCAGAAACCAGUCAGUCUCCUCAUGGCAAAGUAUCGCCCACAGUUUUUCAAGGGAAGAGUUUCCCCAUAUGUGCUGUCGCAGGCGCGUCCCCUGAUUCUCUUCGAGGCCACUGCGGUACUGCCUUCCUCACACUGCUGUUGGUCCUUGCACAGACCUGGGAAGUUUGCCUUCCUGUUUAUUCUGGGUAAACUUAGGCAUCCAGUUUCCAAGGAUCACUUCUUAAGAUCCAGAUCUCAUGAUGGAAGAUGCUUCAAUGAAAAACAUUGAAAACCAAAGGAACGUGCCUUACUGUGUACCUAUGGCCCUUCAAAGGCCAGAGUAGAAUCUGCUAUGAUUUAUAAACAAACAAGAAAUGGUGAGUAGCUGGUAGCUAAGAACUUGGACUUUGGGAUCGGACAGGCCUGGGUUUAAAUCCUAGCCCUGUCACUUUCACUCUGUGAUUCUGGGGAAAAAUGUUUUUGCUUUCUCAUAUGUGAAAUAAAGUCAGUGGGUAUCCUGAACACGCCACCUUUACUUGUCCAGCAUGUCAGUCGGGUUUUGUUCAUGGAAACAGAGCUGCUGUAAACGUUAUGGGAAUAAGGGACUUUACUCAGA